rnacentral:rRNA from 1 species
GACAGAGGCCCCGAGCGUUAGGCGGAAUCACUGGGCUUAAAGCGUGUGUAGGCGGAUCGUUAAGUGUCUUGUGAAAUCCCACGGCUCACCCGUGGAACCGCUGGGCAUACUGGCGAUCUUGGGCCAUUCAGGGGCAGCUGGAACAAGCGGUGGAGCGGUGAAAUGCGUAGAUAUCGCUUGGAACGCCAAAGGUGAAAACAGGCUGCUGGGAAUGUGCCGACGCUGAGACACGAAAGCCAGGGGAGCGAACGGGG